rnacentral:rRNA from 1 species
CCUACGGGUGGCAGCAGUGAGGAAUAUUGGUCAAUGGUCGGGAGACUGAACCAGCCAAGCCGCGUGAGGGAUGAAGGUACAGAGUAUCGUAAACCUCUUUUGUCAGGGAACAAAGUUGCGAACGUGUCCCCUUGUGUAUGUACCUUAAGAAUAAGCAUCGGCUAACUCCGUGCCAGCGGCCGCGGUAAUACGGAGGAUGCGAGCGUUUUCCGGAUUUAUUGGGUUUAAAGGGUGCGCAGGCGGUCUGUUAAGUCAGUGGUAAAAGCCCGGGGCUCAACCCCGGCCCGCCGUUGAGACUGGGAGUCUAGAGUUGGAGAGAGGUAUGCGGAAUGCGCGGUGAAGCGGUGAAAUGCGUAGAUAUCGCGAAGAACUCCGAUUGCGAAGGCAGCAUACCGGAUCCACACUGACGCUGAGGCACGAAAGCGUGGGUAUCAAACAGGAUUAGAUACCCCUGUAGUC